UACGUAGUGGCGAGCGAUACUCGGAAUCACUAGGCGUAAAGCGCAGGUAGGCGGUUCGGUAAGUCUCUUGUGAAAGCUCCCGGCUCAACUGGGAGAGGCCAAGGGAAACUACCGGGCUAGAAUGUGGCAGAGGAAGCUGGAAUUCCCAGUGUAGCGGUGAAAUGCGUAGAUAUUGGGAGGAACACCAGUGGCGAAGGCGGCUUACUGGACCGGUUCUGACGCUGAGGCGCGAAAGCGUGGGGAGCAAACGGG
rnacentral:rRNA from 1 species